AAGAAAAAAAACGUAUUAUCAUACUCGGGAUCUAUGUGCGUGUGUCAAAAAGCCGCGGUGUGAAAAACGGAAUGAGAAAAAAGCGAAUCAAUUACAUUAUAUUUUGUAUUUAUAAUCGUCAUACAAUUGCCUUCAAUGUCGGUGUUCAGUGUGGUAAAUGUGUUAAGUGUUCAGUGAAUGUGUAAAAAUGUGUUUCAAAAGGGCGGUCCAGUGGUACAGUCGUCAAUUCGCUCGACUUAACAACAUGCCCCUCAUGGGUUCAAGCCACGUAUGGACCGUCCUUCCGUAGCCGGACUGACCAUCCGGCUGCGUGGUACUAAUUAUGUAUCAACAGCUUAAAUAGUCCAGCAUGACCGCGCAGGUCGCAUGCGUCAAGUAAAAUAUGAAGAAGUGUUUCAAAACAAAAAUUAGUUUUGAAAAAACAUUAUUCAUUUAAUGUUUUCCGCUAGUCGUCAAGAGCACGACCUAUGAACAUGCCUGUCAUGGGUUUAAGGACCAUAUGAGCCGAGCAUCCUAUAAGCAGGGCAGGGCUAAUUGUGUUGCACAAAAAAAAAAGAUAAAAAAGGCUUAGAUAAGUGACUAAGAGCAGUAGCGCAGGGUAAGAAAAGUGGUUCAGACUGGCAAAACGGAUAGGGUUUCCACAGGUUCACCAUGGCAAAUGCCACAAGACCGGACGUGAAUCGAUUCUUGACUAUCCGUACGAAACCAGAACUGACUAUCCUGCUUCUCAUACCAUAAAUUCUAAAAAGCCUUUAACAAAUCAUUGCGGUUGACAACCAUCCAAGUGUAAAUUAAAAACCGUGCGAUCAUGAUCAAAUACAUUAUUUGUUGCACUGGUCAAUCGGGCAAAAAUUGGUCCGUUCCUAUUAUUGCAGGUAGCCAUUGUAGUGUGGCGACGGGAAACACCUAAUCAACAAUUCAAAUGUCGGAUCGGAAAGCAGAAAACAAAUAUUCGAUAAUACAGCGUUCAUCAUAUAAACUAUAUUCGUACUAUAAUUCGAAUAAAUAAAUUUUUAAAAAAUAUGUACACACAGCAAGUGAUUUGUUUCCUUAUUAACAAAAUCCGAAUUUAACAAGUUCGAAAGAAACGUUGUAAUUGUUUUACAUGCCUUUUAUUUAAUUAUACUGUUGAUUAUAAAUUAUCUUCCCAAUAAAGACUUUUCGGAUGACGAAACGGUCCCGGAAGUGCCGCAAGGCCAAGCUACGACAUCAAGCACUGCCGGAACAAGUGCUGAAAACGUCGCGGAUGAUGCUGAUGAUUUCGACCACGGGGAACAUUAUCCGAACGGGGAGGACAGCGACGAUUUUUAUCACGGCGCUUCCGAUGAGAAUGACUCUUAUGAGAUCUUUGACCAUCUAAGUUUGUUGGAUUGUCUUAGAUUCUUUGCAAUUAAGAGUCAGCUCCCCCGUUCGGUGGUCAAUAUGCUACUGGCGAUCCUACGGAAGAAGGUAGAUGCCACUCUUCCAAAAGAUAGCCGGACUUUGGUGCGAACACCUCCCCGUGCUGCUGGCAGCAUUUAUAAAAUCGGGGGAGGUGACUUUUGGUACGGAGGAUUAUCGCCAGUCCUGACCAAGUAUUUUCAAAACAUCGAACCCCGAGACGAUCCUUUCAAGUUAGACGUAUCGGUCGACGGGCUACCGCUACAUAAGGGUGGGCCGACCCAGGUUUGGCCUAUUCUGGUGAAAGCGGUAGACUUGCCUAAGCUUCCACUCAUGUUGGUGGCCGCAUAUAGUGGCCAUACAAAGCCGGCAAGUGUGGAAGAAUUUUUGCGGCCGCUAGUGAAUGAUUUUAAUAUCAUUCAGCGAGGAGGCUUGACCAUCGGCGAUAAAACGUUGCAGUUUCGGGUACGCAAUUUUAUCGCUGAUACACCGGCUCGAGCGUUCAUAUUAGCAACGACGAACCACAACGGAUACGACAGUUGUUUAAAGUGCACUUGCCAUGGCGAGUGGUGUGAAGAGGGAAAAAAAAUUAUUUUUGAUUCCGUCGAUGCUCCCCUUCGUACGGACGAAGGGUUUCGUGGUAGAGUAAUAUUGAACCAUCAUCAGGAGUGGCGUACACCUUUGGAAGAAUUAGAUAAUUUUGAUUUAGUCGAUAACGCUCCCACGUCGGAGCGUGAACACCUGUGUGACGAGGGGUGUACACGUUUUAUGCAACGGGGAUUUAUGUUCGGUAAAUUUCCCCGUAAUAAAAAGUGGACACCUCUCCAAAUGGAAGCUGCGUCUAAAUUUUUAAUGCAGACAAAGCUUCCUACUGAGAUCCAUCGAUCAUUUCGGCUUCUCAGAUAUCACGCCUUUUGGAAAGCUACCGAGUGGCGUAGCUAUCUACAUUAUGCAUCAGUUGUGGUUCUGAAGGACCUGGUUGAUCCAAUCGCCUAUGGUCACUUCCUGCUCUACUUUAGUGCUGUGACAAUUUUUUCGACCAAAUUUCAUCAGCACUUGUGGCUCCGUGCUCGAGACUACCUUCGCAUAUUUGUGAAGAAUUUCGGCCAAGUCUACGGUCGAAAAUAUUUAACAAGCAACAUCCACCUUCUCGUUCACAUUUAUAAAGAUGUUGAAAAAUUUGGAGCGCUCGACGAUUUUUCGGCCUACGCAACAGAAAACUUUUUGCAAAAUUUUCCACGCUGGGUCCGAGCGGGCACGAAAUGUGUGGAGCAAAUUGCAAACAGAUCAAGCGAUCUAAUGAGCCUUGAUCUGGUUGCUACCCCGCCAGCUCCACAGUAUCCGAUGUUGAAGGCAAAUGGUGUCGGUCUACAUGUGACCGCCGAUUUUGUCUUGCUGCCAAAAUUUCAAGACCAAUGGUUUUUGACCAAGGACAAUGGCAUAGUUAAAUUUUUGAGUGCGAAAACAUCAAGCUCGCACGAUAUCACCGUAGUUGGGAUCCGGUUUUUAACCAUGGCCACGCUUUACGAGAUCUCAGCAGAAGGCGGUGUUAUUGCACCAAUGUCUUCUGCUGAGAUCCACGUUUACCAAACGAUGGAAAACGCGCCGGCUGUGGUGGUGGAGGUUCCAUGGACUGCAAUCAGAUGCAAAAUGGUUGCAGUGAAGCAACCCACUCGUCCUCUUAAUCUCCCUCCCAUUGAUCCUUCACCAAACUCAACAACUCCUUCCGCCAUAGCCUUUUUUCCUCUUCUCCACACCUUUAUUCCUGAUUAAUUUCCUCCCUUCAAUAGAAAAAAUUUCCUCCACGACUCCCUCGAAGACGACGUGUGGUUGCACAUGGUAAACUUUCACCGAAACUCCGGAUAAUUCGUGCCCAUCCAUCUGUGACAUGGACGAGAAGGUGGACAAAGCUAAUAUUAAGGGGGGGGGGACGACCUUUUUAACAGCACUACGGGCAAUGUUGGGACAUGUUUGCCGUGCUGGACACUGCGUAUCCGUUUCAGGCCUCCUCCAGGCGAGCUGCCUUUUCCCCGUGGUUAAUGGAACAAAGCGGGUUGGGGUUUUGUUUUGUGUGUUUGUUUUUUUUGCACAAUCAAUUAUAAAUUGUGCUUUUUUCUGUUGGCCUGUUAUAUAAAAGGCAGGCAAUGGUGCCUGCGGCUGACAUGGCACCUAGUUUUUUUUUCCUUUUUUUUUUUAACUAUAUAGAUUUUUUUAUAGGUUAGUUUAAGUUUAGGUUGAAUUUUCUUUUCUUUAGGUUGAGUAAGUAGGUUUAAGAUGUAAUUUUACGUUUACAUUUAAGCUUACUUCGAACUUUUUAGUAGUAGUAGUAGUCUUAGCGAUACUAUUGUAGUGUGAAUUUAGAUUAGAUUGAUUGAACUAUUUGUAUACCUCUAGUACCAUAGUUGGUUGCCAGUGAAAAGGAUUUUUUUUCUUCUAUUUGGCACGUUCCAUUUAUUGUAUAUGGCAAAGCUACGGCUUACGAGGCUUAUAAAGUACCACGCAGCAUGAUAGUCAGUCUUUGCUACGAGUAGGUCAGCCCAUACGGGGCUUGAACCAUAGAAUGAUGUGUUGUAAAAUAUUGCCAAUGAAUUCGUUUUGCUAUUUACUUCAGCACCAUGUUUUUUUUGGUAAACAUACCUUUCCACGUCAUCUAAAUUCGUUCAUUUUUACUUAGCCAUGACAAAGAACCAUAGUUUAGUCGAAGUAAGGUUUUAACCUUACUCAAUUGGCAUAAUAUGUAUAACAUAAAAUAUAAAAUAAUACACACAAAACUUAGGAAUUCUCUUGCGUAGAUCACACUAGAGAGCAUUUAGUUAUGUAAUGUUGAUUACUACACACGGAUGGCUGAUGAUAAAGCUUUUCAUAGGAAGUAUAUGUUGUGCAAUUUGAGCACAAAAUAUAACCAAUUGCAUUUUAUAUAAUGUGCAUAUUACUUAAAUGGCUAAUUGCCCUGAGGCCAGGAUAUGUUACAUGACAAAGCCUCAGUUAUGUUACUAUGUACCCAACAUCAACUUUUUCAUUAAACCGUGUCAUCAACAUAACGAUAGUAAAAAUAGCAACGUAGAUUAUAAAAAACUUUUUUGAGCAUCACAUCCGCAAACGACGUUAGCAAACAGGCAAGGCAAACACUUCACAAAAAGAACACAAAAUGCACAGGCACAAUGCUACCGUCAGACACACUAAACGGUUUACAUAAAUUCAACAACAAGAUGGCAUACUAUUUAGUGGAACCAAACAAGCAGGACUUCCGCUUCGUUAAAAAUUUGUGUCACGCGAACUCAUCAAGAGCCGGACGAAAGCAAUUAUGAUGCAAAGACAAAAAGAGGAAGGCGAAGAAACACAACAUUGAAUAACGUACAUCACACAGGUUGACGUAAGGAAAAAGAAUGGUGUUUUGCUUUUUCCAACGUUACAGUUACAUCAGAAGUUCUACCAAUGACCAUUAGAAGGCGAUGCACGUGUUUGUACUGGCCCAUUGGGAUCUUGGCACUACUUUUACCUCCGCCCAGCCAGCUGCACUUACAUAAGAAAGUGGCACUAAAUAGUUUGAUUACUGCAUCGUUCAUUCGAUUUUCUGGAGUAACAGAACCGGUCUUGGCGAUUCAUCGACAGUCUCUUUCGAAGAACAACUAGCACUACUAGCAGAGCAAUUUGGACAGCUGUGCGCAGCAUGUGAUGCAAAUUUCUCUCUCCACAUUAUUGUUAUUUUCGCUUGAAGCUCCACGGUUCAACUCUAUUGAGGAUGUUGCUGGCGAUAAUAGCUGCGGUGCUUCAACCGAAUGACUAUCCUGAAUGGCAUCAAGACGCGGAUUAUGCGAGGAUAGUUCAACAGUGGCCAGUGGAAAUGACCGACGGUCAGCAGCGAUGGAUGCAAUCCUUUCCACUGCCGAGCGGUUCCUUUCCACUGCUGCUUGUACAGAGAGACCAUCGAAAAAGGCCAACGGAGGAGGUUCAUCGACGUCAACGUUGCCAAAUGUCUCCGUAGGAUGGUUUUCCACAGCUCUCUCGACAAUUUUAUCUUUCAAAAUUGCCGGAGAUGGUUCACGGACGUCAACGCAGGAUAAUGAUGACGUGCUGUCGUUUAUCGCCGCAGAUUGAUUAUAAACACCGUCAAAAAAGGCCAACACAGGUGGUUCAUACACAACAUUACUGGACACUCGUUGUAAGUUAAGAUUUUCCACUGCACAUUGCGAUGUUUCACCGCCAAAAAAGGCCAAGGGGGGCGGCUCAGUAACGCCACGGGACACCUUCGCCUGCUGAUUUUUCGAUGAAGCAUCCAAUGUAUGGAAAUGCGCGGAGGAGGGUGAAUUGUUAGUCACCGUUAAAACUUUGCACGGUACAUCGCAGACCUGCCGUUGUGAUGAUACCUCAUUAAAAUAUUUUAACGGUGGCGGGUUUCCUUUGAAACUACGUUGCAUUUUUAUUUUUCAAAUGUAUCUGAAAAACAUACGCGUUCGAUUGAGCUUCUUGAACACAAAUGGUGCUUGCAUGUGCCAAUACUAAUUCAAUAAUAUUCACAUAGUUGUGCAGUACAGUGUGUUCCCGAAUUACGCGGUUUCUGCGUUCCCGGCGAAUUCGCGUAUCUUGAAUAUCCGCGUAAGUCAAAUUUCACAUUUGUUGAACAAUAUAUUAUUCAUUGUUAAGAGUUUUUGAUUUUAUUUAGUACUUUUAUACACUUUAUCAUUUUUUAUAUGAUUUGU